rfam:Schistosoma haematobium scaffold77_14, whole genome shotgun sequence.
AUCUAGCUGACGUGUCCGAAAUAGGACGAAACGCGCGUCCCGGAU